CUAAGAAGGAAUAGGCUGUUUCCUAGACAACAGAAGGCGGUGAGUAGCUUUCUUGAUCUUUCCCUCUGGGGCCCCAUGAGAGAAACCUUGAACCAUCCUGACUUGCCUACCCACUCCAGGGCUCCACAGUGCUCGCAGGUCACAAGAAAUGGGUAGCUAUCCAGCUAAAUAGAUUUCAUGCUUGACUUCAGUGGAAUAGCUCAAAUGAUGAUCUGUUUGGGAGAGUAAAUUAAAGAGUUUCCAUCUGAGGUUGGUUGAAUCCACAGAUGCAGAACCCACAGAUACAGAGGGCCAACCAUAUUGAGUCUGACUUCACCUACUCCUCCCACCUCCAUCUCUCCUAAUCCUUAACCUUCCUUGGAGUUCUUGGAGCAGAAUACUCACAAAGGAGUCAGGGGCUGUCUUCCUUCCUAGAAGCAGUGCUUCUAUGUUCUCAUUUGAUGUUGAAAAAAACAUUUAACAGAAGAGGUUUGAUAACAUCA